CCUACGGGAGGCAGCAGUGGGGGAUAUUGCACAAUGGGGGAAACCCUGAUGCAGCGACGCCGCGUGAGUGAAGACGGUCUUCGGAUUGUAAACCUCUGUCUUUGGGGACGACUUGAGACGGUACCCAAUGAGGAAGCUCCGGCAAACUACGUGUCCGCAGCCGCGGGAAUAUGUAGGGAGGAAGCGUUUUCCGGAAUUACUGGGUGAAAAGGGAGCGUAGGCGGGAUAGUAAGUUGAUUGUUAAAACUAUCGGCUCAACUGGUAGAUGCGAUCAAAACUGCAAUUCUUGAGUGAAGUAGAGGCAGGCGGAAUUCCUAGUGUAGCGGUGAAAUGCGUAGAUAUUAGGAGGAACACCAGUGGCGAAGGCGGCCUGCUGGGCUUUAACUGACGCUGAGGCUCGAAAGUGUGGGUAGCAAACAGGAUUAGAUACACUAGUAGUC
rnacentral:rRNA from 1 species